GUGUGAUUCUGAAAAGCAAAAGAGUGAUGACAGUAGCAAGCAAGCAAGCCAGCAUCUUCCUACAUAACCGUUAUACAACGGAACACAUCCCCGGUAACCAAAUUCAAAAUGAAAAGUAAAAAACAUAUUCAAUUCCCUUACUUUUCUUCCUUUUUUCAAAUCCAACUUCCAAUGUUUAUAGUAUAAGAUUGUCACUCUCUCUUCCGCCCUCCUCCGUUCAUCGCAAAUACAUAUUUGUACGUUCUUCUUUCGCUUCAUCUUUUCAUCGCAAAUAACCACCACCAAGGCCUCCACCGCCCUCCUCCGUUCACGUAGGUGCAAAUCGAGCCACCAUUACCUCCUUGGUCGGCCUUCAACUACAGUUAAAAAUCAUCAACUCAACAAGGUUCUUCACGCUUGCGCUUCUCAUUUAAGUUGAUUUUCACUUCUCAUUCCUCAAAUCUUUCUCAGCUUUUUAAGCCGAUUUCAGUUUCAAUUUAUUGAGGAUAUAGGAGGACAUAAACCAUCUAAGAAGUGUGGCAUAUGUUGAAGGCCUGGACAUAAGAACUCAUAUGAAUGGAAUAUAUAUUAACAUGGGAGUAUGUCCACAACAUGACUUGCUGUGGGAAAGCUUUGACUGGUAGAGAGCACCUACUUUUUUAUGGAAGACUUAAAAAUCUUAAAGGUUCAGUCUUGACUCAAGCAGUAGAAGAAUCUUGGAAGAGUUUAAACCUUUUCCAUGGAGGGGUUGUUGAUAAACAAGCUGGAAAAUACAGUGGUGGGAUGAAGAGGAGGCUUAGUGUUGCAAUUUCAUUAAUUGGGGACCCCAAAGUUGUUUAUAUGGAUGAGCCAAGUAUUGGAUUUUAGACCUUGCUUCAAGAAAAUGUUUAUGGAAUGUUACCAAGCUUGCAAAAUAGGAUUGUGGAAUCAUUCUGACAACUAAAAGCCAGAUAUGGAGGAACUUAUGUGUUGACAAUGACAUCAUCUUUGGAUCGCGAGAAGAAUGUAGAGAACAUGGUACAAUAGCUCUCUCCAAAUGGCAACAAGAUAUACCGUCUUUCUCGAACUCAGAAAAAGAGAUGGUCGAGACCAACAAAAGUUUAACCUUUCUGAUGCAACAUUUAGGAUUUAUUGGAUCUUAUUCUCGUCCAAGUUCAUCACCACAACCCAAUGAUGAAACUGAUUAAGAUAGUGGGGAUGAAGACAUUGGUAGUGAUCAUAUUGAGUAGUAUUGUUUUUAUUUUGUUAUAUUGGUUGUAUCAUAUACUUGGUUAUUCUUAGUUUUUUUUUUUGGAUCAUGUUUUAAUUAAUACUUAGUUCUGAUUUGUGAACAUGAUAUAAAUUUUGUUUAGAAUUAUCACAAUAGUUGGAUCAUGCUUUAAUAAAUAUUUAGUUUUGAUUUGAAAA